rnacentral:rRNA from 1 species
UCGGGAAUUUUGGGCAAUGGGCGAAAGCCUGACCCAGCAACGCCGCGUGAAGGAUGAAGUAUUUCGGUAUGUAAACUUCGUAAGAAUAGGAAGAAUAAAUGACGGUACUAUUUGUAAGGUCCGGCUAACUACGUGCCAGCAGCCGCGGUAAUACGUAGGGACCAAGCGUUGUUCGGAUUUACUGGGCGUAAAGGGCGCGUAGGCGGCGUGGUAAGUCAUCUGUGAAAUCUCCGAGCUUAACUCGGAACGGUCAGAUGAUACUGCUGUGCUAGAGUACAGAAAGGGCAAUCGGAAUUCUUGGUGUAGCGGUGAAAUGCGUAGAUAUCAAGAGGAACACCUGAGGCGAAGGCGGGUUGCUAGGCUGAUACUGACGCUGAGGCGCGAAAGCCAGGGGAGCAAACGGGAUUAGAUACCCAGUAGUCCCUGAGCGGGCUGGCAAGGCGCAU